rnacentral:hammerhead_ribozyme from 1 species
GUACUGAUGAAGAGUCCCAAACUAGGACUUAACGAUUGUCCAGUAC